rnacentral:tRNA from 1 species
ACUUGAGUAGUUUAAGAAAAAUAUUGGUUUGUGGUGCCAGUGAUGUAAGUGUACCUUGGGUU